rnacentral:rRNA from 1 species
GCGCAGCAGUCGCGAAAACUUCACACUGUGCGAAAGCACGAUGAGGGAAUCCCAAGUGCUUGCACGUAAGUGUAAGCUGUUUCUCUGUCUAAAACGCAGAGAGAGUAAGGGCUGGGUAAGACGGGUGCCAGCCGCCGCGGUAAUACCUGCAGCUCAAGUGGUGACCGUUAUUAUUGGGCCUAAAACGUCCGUAGCCGGUUUAAUAAAUGCCUGGGUAAAUUGUGUAGCUUAACUAUACGAAUUCCGGGUAGACUGUUAAACUUGAGACCGGGAGAAGUUAGAGGUACUCCUGGGGUAGAGGUGAAAUUCUGUAAUCCUAGGGGGACCACCAGUGGCGAAGGCGUCUAACUAGAACGGGUCUGACGGUGAGGGACGAAGCCCUGGGGCGCAAACGGGAUUA